GCCUUCGUGGUGCAACGGUAGCGCACUCGGUGCGUAUUCGGCGGAUCCAGAUUCAAAUCCUGGCAAGGGCA
rnacentral:tRNA from 1 species